rnacentral:rRNA from 1 species
UACGAAGGGGGCUAGCGUUGCUCGGAAUCACUGGGCGUAAAGGGUGCGUAGGCGGGUCUUUAAGUCAGGGGUGAAAUCCUGGAGCUCAACUCCAGAACUGCCUUUGAUACUGAAGAUCUUGAGUUCGGGAGAGGUGAGUGGAACUGCGAGUGUAGAGGUGAAAUUCGUAGAUAUUCGCAAGAACACCAGUGGCGAAGGCAGCUUGCUGGCAUGUUUCUGACGCUAAGGCACGAAAGCGUGGGUAGCGAACGGG